rnacentral:rRNA from 1 species
AGUGAACGCUGGCGGCAGGCCUAACACAUGCAAGUCGAACGGCAGCACAGUGAUUGCUCGCUCAUUCGGCUGCCGACUGGUGGAUGGUUCCGGAAUAUAUCGCUAUCUACUUUUUAGUAGGGCCUAACGCAGGCACUAAUACCCCAAUCCCCCAUACGGCCUACGGGUGAAAGCUGCGGACCUCCCGCUCUCGGGUGAUCCUAUGUCGGAUUAGCUAGUUGGCGGGGUAAAGGCCCACCAAGCCGACGAUCCGUAACUGGUCUGAGAGGAUGAUCAGUCACACUGGAACUGAGACACGGUCCAGACUCCUACGGGAGGCAGCAGUGGGGAAUAUUGGACAAUGGGCGCAAGCCUGAUCCAGCCAUGCCGCGUGUGUGAAGAAGGCCUUCGGAUUGUAAAGCCCUUUUAGUGGGGAAGAAAGGCAGUAGGUUAAUACCCCGCUGUUCUGACGGUACCCAAAGAAUAAGCACCGGCUAACUUCGUG